UACGUAGGGGGCAAGCGUUGUCCGGAUUUAUUGGGCGUAAAGAGCGUGUAGGCGGUUAGGUAGGUCCGUUGUGAAAACUCGAGGCUCAACCUCGAGACGCCGAUGGAAACCAUCUGACUAGAGUCCGGAAGAGGAGAGUGGAAUUCCUGGUGUAGCGGUGAAAUGCGCAGAUAUCAGGAAGAACACCCGUGGCUAAGGCGGCUCUCUAGUACGUGACUGACGCCGAGACGCGAAAGCGUGGGGAGCGAACAGG
rnacentral:rRNA from 1 species